rnacentral:lncRNA from 1 species
CCUUCUGUCCUACAAUCAGUACUGUGUAUUGGUUCAAGGCAAAAGAGUAGUACUUUAUAUUACUCCACCCUACUUAGACAUACUUUAGGGGAAGAUAAAGUUGUAAUCUACUAAUUGAACAAUGAAGGUACUUAGUUCUCACCUUAUAGUGAACUAGAAGCUAGAACUUUAAGCUGUCUAUUUUUAGACCUUAAUACAAAAAGGUGUUAAGUAACUAUAAAGGUUAAAUUAAUCACAAAAAGGUCAAGUAACUAACAAAAGGUGAACUUAACAAAGAAGUGUGAAGUAGCUCAAAAGAUAUAAACUAAUCAAAGAAGGUGAGAACUAAAAGUAUGGGCAGUCCUGGAGAAAGCCUUUGACAUGAUUGGUAGAAGUGAAAAUUUAGAGGUGGAGACACAAGGGUGAAAGGUCUAUAUAUUUGGGAUUUUUUCGUCUCUCAAAAACUCUUUCCCCAGAAAGUUGGAUCUGGCUGAUCACUUUCUGUGAGCAGCCUGAGCACCAGUUCGAUCCUGGAACUCAGCCUGGAGGAGCUCACUCAGACAGCUUCCUUGAGACGGUCUCAUGGAGAGAGAUUGCUUCAACAGUCUGCUGGCAGCUAGAGUGAAGAUCAAGAAAAGGACCAUCAGUCUCUACUGGGAACUGUAAAUGAAGAUUUUGAGAAGUGACAAAUGUAUCUGUAAAAAGAAAAGGAGCUCAGAACUUUGUGAAAUGCCAAUCAACUGAGAUGGGGAGACAGUUCCCAUGGAACGUUGGUAAAAAGCAAUUAAACAGCUUGAGCUGACUAAGAGGGAUUCCUUCUCAGGCUGUUGGACCAGAUGGUGGAAGAUAGAUUAAUUACUCUCUAGCUAUUGCCUUAUCCAUAAGACUAUGGGCUGAAAAGACUUUGUGUUUUAGCCCAGAAGAAACCUGUCAGCAUUGCUGUCAAUAUCUACCCUUAGGGAAAGAUAAUUUUGUUUCCUGAAUUUGAAUACAUCUUGAAAUCUUCAAUCAACAGGAUAACUUAGAAAAUUUAGGGAGACCUAUUUUCCUCUCACCCCUCCCCUCUCCUUACCUCCUCUACCCAAAAGAAUAAAAGACCUUUUAGUUGAAGGAUUUGAUUGUGG